AUGACAUUGAUUUCUGAGUCAUGCCAAAAUCCGCAAAUUAAACCCAGCUUUCGUUUUGAGCUCUUUAUCUUUGCACUUCAGACUUUUUGUACAUGUUGUAAUGUUCAGAAGUGUGCUACACUUACUUUCUGUUUCAAACCAAAAGCGGAUGUUUCCUCUUGGCAAUCGGCACACAAGUUUCCUUUAGCUGCAGGAAGCAAAGGCAGCUGUAGAAGGAAAGAAAUGAUGAAUGAACAAUGUAUUUGCUUUGUGAUGGCUCAACAAAGCUCGGCAAAAUGGAGGAGCCGGAUCUGGUUUUGUCUUUUAGUCUAAUUAAGUGUCAAUACUCUUUAGUGAAAGAAUUCACUAAACAAGAGCUCUGUAAGAACAAAUGCCCUUUAUUCUGGGACAUGUAUGGUUUUAUCUGAGUUGUUUUACGGCCACAUUUCUGAAUUUUAUUGUACAAAGUUGUUCAUUUUACAUAAUAUUUAAUUAAAGUAUUUCUUGUCUGUGACCAGUUUCUCCUUGAAAUCUUAUUUUGGUCUUUUUUCUCUCUAAAAACGACCAUGCAUUUAAAAUAAAAAAGGGGAAAAUCUAAAGGAAAAUCUAAGGGGAAAAUUAAAAUCUGAAAGGAAAAAUGUAAUUACAAAAAAUCCCCAAAAUCUACAAAUGUAAAAUUUUACACACUAAAACUACAAUAAUUUUAAAAUCUACCUACUUGCAGUUCUGUACAAGAUGCAUAUAAACUUACAUAUUCUGUAUAUAAAAAUAAAAAUAAAAUAAAAAUGCAUGCUCAUCAUGCUAGCAACAUGCUAGUAAAAUGCUGAUCAGGCUAGAAACAUACUAGUCACUCGUUAGUCAUGUUAGCACUAUGCUCGCUAAUCAUGCUAUUAACAUCCUAGUUUUUAAUCAUGCUAGUAACUUGUUAACCAUUCUAGUAACUUGUUAAUCAUCUUAGCAACAUGCUAGUUACUUGUUAAUCAUGCUAACAACAUGCUAAGCAUGCCAGCAAUAUUCUAGUAACAGGCCAGUCAUGUUAAAAGCAUGCUAAUCAUGCUAAAAACAUCAACAUCCAUCUAAUCGAUCUAAAUUUUCAAACAUCAGGCUUUUACAACUACUUUAAACUUGCCAACAUAAAGGCUCUCUUGACAAACUUUUUCUUGAUGCUGAUUGGUCGAUAUGUAUUUCUAGUCAUGCAAAAAUUUUGCUAUUUCAUAAUCUUGAGACAAACAUCUGAUUUCUUUGUUUAGCUGAUUAUGAAUGUCAGGACAAGGACAAAGAUGAAAAACACCAAUGAUUAACAAGAAAAAAAGUAAACCUGGAGUGCUGUCACAUCUGAUCGGUAUAAAUGGCUGCAGUUAUGAAGCAGAGCCUGCUAAGAUUGUGGCCAUGUCUCUUUCUCUGGCCUUGGCCUUGAUGUUGCAUUGGCUGAGACUCUUACGGCCAGGUGUUUUUGGGUGAGCUGAUGACACAAGGCUUUCAUCUUCCACUUCUGUGAAUUCCUAGAAGAAACGACAGUCUCCAGGGGAGGGAGGCCCUCCUGGUCAACGCAUUGAUCCCUGAAGAACAACUGCCAUUUCACGCCGGACACUCCAUAGGAAGCCAGCAGAUAUUUCUCUGCAAUUCAUCCAGACGGCCAACUGCAAAUGGAAAAAGUCUCGGUUCCAUCAACAUUUAACAAGACAUCAUUAGUUGAGUAGGUGCACCUCUUCAUCAACACAUGAUAUGAAUUACAACCUGCAGGACCACAUGGGGUUUGUCAGUCAUGCAUGCAUCAUUAGACGUAGCGCUUGCGGAGGGUGAACGCAGAGGACAGUGCAAUGCUAACCUUGUUGAAGGUCAUUAGUGAGCUGACUGUAGAACUGAGCUUCACUGUCUCUGUCUCAUCAGAAAGCUGCUCCAUAACUGAUUCAACUGGAUGCCUCGCUGAGCCCAGUGUUUGAAAUGUAAGUUGAGCAAUUACAGGCUAAAGGAGCCUACAGCAGCUAGCACUGGGAAUUGUGGCUUCUUUUAAACACGCUGGAUUUAACAGUCAAAUGAGCCUUUUCAACCGAUUUAGGAAGUGUUUGUACCUGUUGCUGGUAAAACUGGUAAAAUAGUUCAACUCUUCAUUAACAGUCAACAUGCUUAUGUCAAUUUAUUUCAGUAAUCUGACAUAUUUACAAGUAACUUGUUUCCAG
ensembl:lncRNA